AUAAGCGCAAGGUUUGACUUGGAGGCGCCAUGUUUGACCCCAGGAAAGCACAACCUUGUGAUACAUGUAUAUAUACAUACUUAUAUGUAUAUGUAUAUGUAACUGGCGCCAUCUUCAUUAUAGUAUGGAGUUAGUUUUAUUUUUAUAAAACGAAUCCGUCCAGGACGAACUCAAGUCGUCCAGGACGAACUCGUUAACCAUGGUUAGAUUUUGUAA
rnacentral:lncRNA from 1 species